CCAUAGCUCAGUGGAUUAGAGCGUCUGCCUCCGGAGCAGAAGGUCGUUGGUUCGAAUCCAACAUG
rnacentral:tRNA from 1 species